AUGUGAGGGCGAUCUGGCUGACAUCUGUCACCCCAUUGAUCACCGGGGUUGAUUCAGCUGAUCUGGCUGGUUAGGCGGGUGUCCCCUUCCUCCCUCACCGCUCCAUGUCAGUCUAAGAGGACGGCCUUCCCCGAAUAGAGACGGACAGAUCUUCAGUCUAGGGUAUACGAGUAGCUGCACUCCCCUGCUAGAACCUCCAAACAAGCUCUCAAGGGAAUGUACGUGCUCUACUAGCAACUGUCUCUGCCUCCCCCCUGUUUUCUACAUUCAG
rnacentral:snRNA from 1 species